rnacentral:rRNA from 1 species
UACGGGGGGAGCAAGCGUUGUUCGGAUUUACUGGGCGUAAAGGGCGCGUAGGCGGUCAGCACAAGUCAGUUGUGAAAUCUCCGGGCUUAACUCGGAAAGGUCAACUGAUACUGUGCGACUAGAGUGCGGAAGGGGCAACUGGAAUUCUCGGUGUAGCGGUGAAAUGCGCAGAUAUCAGGAGGAACACCGAUGGCGAAGGCGGGUCUCUGGGCCGAUACUGACGCUGAGGAGCGAAAGCGUGGGGAGCGAACAGG